UUGCAGGAGGAGGGCUCAGUUCCGGGUCAAGUCUCCAGGAGCCGCUGACGUGACCUCCAGUCAGACGCAGAGGGCGGGACUGACCCCGGGCGCGGGGUGGAGCCUGCUGUCUGUGCCUGGGCUGGGCGGGGGUGCGGCUGGCUGGGAAGCACCUGCCCCCUUGCCUUCGAAUCCUCUGCAUCCUGGUUGGCCCCCAGUAAAUGUUUCUCUGACCAGACUCUGAGCCUCAUCCCCAGGCACCGGGGCGUCUCAGCUCACAAUGAAGGGCGCAAAGUGUUGCCUUGGAAUCCUACAGAGCCUUUUGCAGGAGGCUGAAAACAAACUGCCGGAGAGUUGCUGCUAGUGGCUCACAGCUGCCCCUUCACCGGAGGGAGGAGAGCUGCCCCACCCCGAAGGCUGCACCAGCUGGGCGGGCUGCGACCAGUGGCUGGCGGAUGUGGUGGUACAACAGGCGCCCCCAGACCUCAAGACUUGAAAGGCUGGAGCCGCAGCAGCCAUCAGCCUCCACAAGGGAAAGACCAAGAGAACUGUAAUAAUAUCAGCUAUGAGCUGGCAAACCAAGGCCAGUAACCAUCCAACGUCUGGAGUCCUGUCAGAUUUACAUCUCCAGCCCUGAUCUGCUGCAAGCAUCGGAAACUCAACCUGUACAAAAUCCACACUGUGUAUUUCUCUGCAAAAGCCUACUGUCCCUCAGAAUUCCUC